rnacentral:lncRNA from 1 species
GUGUGGGCCUCAGGAUAGCAAUGAGUAGAAUUUGAAUCGAAUAUUAUAUUAUAUAUUUUUAAAUUUAAAUUUAAUAUUUUAUAUUCAAAUUCUAUCCGAUAUCUGAUCAGAUAAGAAAAGAGUUAUCCAUCCCCAUACUUAAUGGAUUCGGAUAUACCAACGGAUAACUCAUUUCCCCAUAUCCAACCCAUACCCACCCCAU